rnacentral:tRNA from 1 species
GGGCGAUUAGCUCAGUGGGAGAGCGCCUCGUUCACACCGAGGAGGUCGGCGGUUCGAAACCGCCAUCGCCCA